CAGCCGCCGCGGUAAUACGAAGGGGGCUAGCGUUGCUCGGAAUGACUGGGCGUAAAGGGCGCGUAGGCGGAUUGUUUAGUUAGGCGUGAAAUUCCUGGGCUUAACCUGGGGACUGCGCUUAAUACAGGCAGUCUAGAGUGAGGAAGAGGGUUGUGGAAUUCCCAGUGUAGAGGUGAAAUUCGUAGAUAUUGGGAAGAACACCGGUGGCGAAGGCGGCAACCUGGUCCUUGACUGACGCUGAGGCGCGAAAGCGUGGGGAGCAAACAGGAUUAGAUACCCCAGUAGUCCCUGUCUCUUAUAA
rnacentral:rRNA from 1 species